AAACAAAACAGCAGCUAAGGUUCAGUGAGUGUGGACACCUCCAGAUCCUCCAGGAGUAAGAAUGUAGACAGAUUUAUGCAGAGGCUUCCUAUUAGACAUUCGCCUUUGGACAGAAUCCAUUCUUAGUCUUCUGUCAUCUGUAGCUCUCAGUUUCAACCACCAGAAUUGAAACUCAAGGACACCAUGGCAUGCAACAAUUAAUUUGAGUGAGAAAGAAAAAGUCAGUGUGCCUUAAUCCUCAUUGCCUUUCCAUGUUGGGUUUUAUUGAGCAUAUUAUUACUAAUUUCAAGGAAUAGUUUGUUUCUUAACCUUGUUCUAGAAUUUAUUCCAUGGAGAGACAAACCAUAUUACAGAAAUAUUUUUAAUAGGCAUUUUUCAUGCCAAAUGAGGAAUUGAUUUGAACCAAUUUUUCUCAUAUACAACUGAAAUAUAAUCUUUUCAGGACAAUGCCAUUUGAUUUCUCAUCUGACUGUGAUUGUCCUAACUGCUUGGAGAGUACUCAAAAUGAGUCUGAUUGGAAUCCCUGUUUCAGCAAGAGUAGUAAUGACUCUUUUUACCCAAGAUCAAGAAAAAAAUCCGUGUUUUGUUCUGGUGUGCAUUGCUUUGCUUCUCAGUGUUUUUCCACCAGGCCAGAGAAUGACACCAAAGACUCAGGGUUUCUUCCCUCGGAGGAGGAAAGCUA